GACGAACGCUGGCGGCGUGCCUAACACAUGCAAGUCGAGCGAAUGAAGUUCCUUCGGGAAUGGAUUUAGCGGCGGACGGGUGAGUAACACGUGGGCAACCUGCCUCAUAGAGGGGAAUAGCCUUCCGAAAGGGAGAUUAAUACCGCAUAAGAUUGUAGUAUCGCAUGAUACAGCAAUUAAAGGAGCAAUCCGCUAUGAGAUGGGCCCGCGGCGCAUUAGCUAGUUGGUGAGGUAACGGCCCACCAAGGCGACGAUGCGUAGCCGACCUGAGAGGGUGAUCGGCCACAUUGGGACUGGGGCCCGGCCCCGACCCCUACGGGAGGGAGGAGUGGGGAAUAUUGCACAAUGGGGGGAACCCUGAUGCAGCCACGCCGGGGGAGUGAUGGCGGCCUUCGGGUUGGAAAGCCCCUUCUUCAGGGACGAUAAUGACGGUACCUGAGGAGGAAGCCACGGCUAACUACGUG
rnacentral:rRNA from 1 species